CGGCCUGGUGUCCCUCACAGCGACACGGGCACCGGGCGGCUGCACCUCCAUCAGAUUGUACACCCUAUGGAGAACGGCAUGCUGCCUUUUCCCACCCUUGAGCUGCUGCAGACUAUAAAUGCCAUCGAAGCCAAAACCUCAGUGGUGAAUGGCUUGAGAUGUUGAACUCAAAUUUUGGAGAGAAAGCUGGAAAGGAAGAGGAAAAAGAAGAGAGCCCUUUGCUCUUGCCACCUCUUUUCCCUCCAGACAGAGCCAUGAGUGAUGAGCAGCUUGACAUUCUCCUUAAGUUAAGAAAGGAGCUUUGGCUCCAGCAUCAAAACAUAAAGCAGGCUCCUAAGAGAUGAAAAGUGUCCUGACUUUUUUCUGAUAAGGCUGAACACAACACAAAUCCCUCACUGCCCCUCAGGAGCCUACUGAAGCUUUGAACUUUCAUUUCUGUUCAGGAAAAGGCGGCACAAUGCAGUAUCCUUGGCCUCACUUUUAUGAUAGCUUGAGACUGGGAGGGAAACAUAUGGUUUGAGCAUGCUAGGAUAUAUUCCAAGUACUUAAACAAAAGCUCCAAUAGAAUAAUUCAAAAUGUAUCUUUCCAAAGAACAAACUUUUUCAGAAUACCUGUACCACUGUAAUGGGCCUAUGCUCAAGAGUGACUUAAAAUGACCUAUACCAUGGAAAAAGAGAAAACCUGGAUCCAAAGUUAUUUAGGUUCAGAUUCACAAGAAUAUUUAACUUCUUACUGAGCUGGACCUCAGCUGAUCUGCUUGACUUGCAUUUGCAUAUUUGAUGUAGAUUCUCUUCUUGUAAAUCUCAGCCUUUUGGUCAGCAAGAUGAGUGUUUGUCCAGCCUAGACAACCCCUUGCAGAUAGUGGCUGGCCAGAUCAGAACCUCAUUUACGCAGAAUCAUCCUGAACAGGCCAAACAUCUUUCUAAUUGCUUUUUAGUAUAAAACCAUUACACUUGCAAUGAAAAUAGCAGUUUCUUCAGUUUAAACAAAUAAUUUUGCUGUUUAAUUUCCUCCUUCUUGCUGAUAGGUGGCACCAUUUUCUGCACAGAAUGCCAGCCAACACUAGAAGUACAUGGAAAAUUUCAAUAGGUUUUGGCAAACGUGUCGCUGCUAACACACCACAGCAGAAACCAGUGUGUGCUUUGGAGCUCUGUCAACAGAUUAGACAGAUUUCACUGUAAUAAACUGCAAAAGCAGAAAAAUC